UGCUCAGGACGAACGCUGGCGGCGUGCUAAUACAUGCAAGUCGAGCGGACAGAUGGGAGCUUGCUCCCUGAUGUUAGCGGCGGACGGGUGAGUAACACGUGGGUAACCUGCCUGUAAGACUGGGAUAACUCCGGGAAACCGGGGCUAAUACCGGAUGGUUGUUUGAACCGCAUGGUUCAAACAUAAAAGGUGGCUUCGGCUACCACUUACAGAUGGACCCGCGGCGCAUUAGCUAGUUGGUGAGGUAACGGCUCACCAAGGCAACGAUGCGUAGCCGACCUGAGAGGGUGAUCGGCCACACUGGGACUGAGACACGGCCCAGACUCCUACGGGAGGCAGCAGUAGGGAAUCUUCCGCAAUGGACGAAAGUCUGACGGAGCAACGCCGCGUGAGUGAUGAAGGUUUUCGGAUCGUAAAGCUCUGUUGUUAGGGAAGAACAAGUACCGUUCGAAUAGGGCGGUACCUUGACGGUACCUAACCAGAAAGCCACGGCUAACUACGUGCCAGCAGCCGCGGUAAUACGUAGGUGGCAAGCGUUGUCCGGAAUUAUUGGGCGUAAAGGGCUCGCAGGCGGUUUCUUAAGUCUGAUGUGAAAGCCCCCGGCUCAACCGGGGAGGGUCAUUGGAAACUGGGGAACUUGAGUGCAGAAGAGGAGAGUGGAAUUCCACGUGUAGCGGUGAAAUGCGUAGAGAUGUGGAGGAACACCAGUGGCGAAGGCGACUCUCUGGUCUGUAACUGACGCUGAGGAGCGAAAGCGUGGGGAGCGAACAGGAUUAGAUACCCUGGUAGUCCACGCCGUAAACGAUGAGUGCUAAGUGUUAGGGGGUUUCCGCCCCUUAGUGCUGCAGCUAACGCAUUAAGCACUCCGCCUGGGGAGUACGUCGC
rnacentral:rRNA from 1 species